rnacentral:rRNA from 1 species
AUUAACGCUAGCGGCAGGCAUAAUACAUGCAAGUUGAACGGCAGCACAGGUAGCAAUACUGGGUGGCGAGUGGCGCACGGGUGCGUAACACGUAUGUAACCUACCCUAUACAGGCGAAUAACCUUUAGAAAUGAGGGCUAAUACGCCGUAGUAUUACAGAUGGGCAUCUAUUUGUAAUUAAAGAUUUAUCGGUAUAGGAUGGGCAUGCGUCCCAUUAGUUAGUUGGUAAGGUAACGGCUUACCAAGACG